CAUAGAGUGUAUCUCCUUCCAUUCUUCUUCUUCGUCGAAGAUAAAGUCUGCAAGAGUAUAUGGGCCAAGUGCACAAUUCGAAUGAGAGAGAUUUGGAAACAUAAAAGCUAUAUAUGUUAUUUUCUACCAAAAAAUAAAAUCAAGAUUUGUUAUUCUCAAGGGGAAAUACUGGUAGUAACAGUUGUGCCUAAUAACAGUCCUUGAUGUUUGCCCUUGAGAAAGGCCAAGUUUCCAUCAUUCGAGUUGUGCCUGAUGGUUAAAGUGUAUAAUGAUGGUAAGUGGUAGGAUGGUGAUGUUUCUACCAUGAUAAUCAGAUACUUACCAGUGAUUCCACUGAUUGUACUAAAUAAACAAUGUGGAAAGGUUCUUCUAGUCUCUCACAUGGAAUUCUUAUUUAUAUUAAGAAAAUCAUUGUGAAAGGGUGUUGAGUUCUCUCAUUGCUCAGAGAACCUUCUUCCGUAAAGUAUUUAAGGGUGAUAGAAACAAUUACUUUUAAGAACCACAGCUUAAAUAAUAUCGGUAUAUCACAUGAUAGAGUGAAACAUAUGGACAACACAGUCAAAAUUUGACCGUAAACUGGACAAAAAGCAUUUGAAAAUUAUGUUUUUAAGAUAACUAUUAAAUAAUAAUAUAAUUUAUUUUUCUUUAAUGUCUUUUUUUUUUCUGGAGCAAAAGACCCUCAGGGAGGGGAUUCAUUAACCACAUUGGGCAAAAUGAUAGCUACAAUGUUUAGGAGGUCACUCAGAGAACAUUAUAAUUUUUAUUAAUAAAAUAAUCAAAAGCCUCAAGGGAGUGAAGAAGACCUCUAAUAUCCUUCACAACAGGUAAAGCCUCAACUGGAGGUGGGGAGGACUUAUCAACAGGUAAAGCAUCAACUGGAGGUGGGGAGGACUUAUCAAGGAGGCAGUGAAUCAAUCUUUGUCAGUGACACCCGUUGAGGGCCCAUUGUAAUAGCAAACUUGAGACCUAGCUGAAGAACCAAGGAUUCCCUCACAAAAUGAGAGGAAGGGAAGCCAUGGUCAGUAGUCACCAUAUAGAGGUGAACACCAGAAUCAAGAACUAGAACUCCCAAUCCCAUUGCCGAGGCUUUAUGGAAAAGGAAGUGUCCAAGUAGAUGGAGAAGGAUGUUGGAAUAGGUGCAAGAGACUGUUGAGGGGGGGAUGUAGAAGGGGUCGUAGAAGCUAGAACUUCAAGGGCCUUUGUAACCAAUCGAUGAAUCAUAUUCCACCAGGUGGAGAACGGCUGCAGGAAACAUAGAAAGGCUAUGGCAUUUCUUCUCUUCCAGAUCUCCCAAAGAAUAACUGCAUGGGUGACUAAGAGGGAGCAAAAAGAAUGCAUGCUUUAAUGCUCUUCAAAGGUACUUUCAUAGUCAAGACAAAACAAAGAUCAAAGUGCAAGGGUUAGAACCCUUUGCUUAUAUGUGGCAUCGAGAGAGGGUGGUGCGGCGUGACAAUUGAAGGGAGGAGGGAGAUGCAUAGAGAAAGAGGUAAAAUGUCAGAAAAGAUUAGUCAUUCUCCAUUGGUGGCACCCUAGUAAUGUUAAGCACUAUUGCCUGUACUAAAAUUACAACUUUAGAAGAAAUUGAUUUGUUUUUCAGAAUCCA